UUGAACGCUGGCGGCAUGCUUUACACAUGCAAGUCGAACGGCAGCAUGGGCUUCGGCCUGAUGGCGAGUGGCGAACGGGUGAGUAAUGCAUCGGAACGUACUCAGUCGUGGGGGAUAACUAUCCGAAAGGAUAGCUAAUACCGCAUACGUCCUGAGGGAGAAAGCGGGGGACCUUCGGGCCUCGCGCGAUUGGAGCGGCCGAUGUCGGAUUAGCUGGUUGGUGGGGUAAAGGCCUACCAAGGCGACGAUCCGUAGCUGGUCUGAGAGGAUGAUCAGCCACACUGGGACUGAGACACGGCCCAGACUCCUACGGGAGGCAGCAGUGGGGAAUUUUGGACAAUGGGCGCAAGCCUGAUCCAGCCAUGCCGCGUGAGUGAAGAAGGCCUUCGGGUUGUAAAGCUCUUUCAGACGGAAAGAAAUCGGGCGCGUGAAUAGCGUGCCUGGAUGACGGUACUGUCAGAAGAAGCACCGGCUAACUACGU
rnacentral:rRNA from 1 species